rnacentral:rRNA from 1 species
CGGGGAGAGUGGCGAACGGGUGAAUAAGACGUUGGUGACCUGCCCCGGAGAGGGGGAUAAUUCCGCGAAAGCGGGACUAAUACCCCAUAGGCUGCAGGGGGUUAUAGGCUUCUGCAAAAAAGGCUGAUGCGCUUCGGGAGGGGCCAGCGGCCUAUCAGCUAGUUGGUAGGGUAAGGGCCUACCAAGGCUGAGACGGGUAGGGGGCGUGAGAGCGUGGCCCCCCACAAUGGCACUGAGACACGGGCCAUACUCCUACGGGAGGCAGCAGUGAGGAAUAUUGCGCAAUGGGGGCAACCCUGACGCAUCAACGCCGCGUGGGUGAAGAAGGCCUUCGGGUUGUAAAACCCUUUUCUGGGGGACGAGCAAGGACGGUACCCCAGGAAUAAGUCCCGGCUAACUACGUGCCACCAGC